rnacentral:rRNA from 1 species
GAGGCAGCAAUGAGGAAUGUUGCGCAAUGGAGGCAACUCUGACGCAGCCAUGCCGCGUGCAGGAAGACGGCCUUACGCGUUGUAAACUGCUUUUAUUGGGGAAGAAACCCCAAGACGUGUCCUGGGUAGACGGUACCGAUAGAAUAAGCACCGGAUAACUUCGUGCCAGCAGCCGUGAUAAUGCGAAGGGUGCAAGCGUUAUCCGGAUUCAUUGGGUUUAAAGGGUGCGUAGGCGGAACAAUAAGUCAGUGGUGAAAUCACGCAGCUCAACUGUAGACUUGCCAUUGAUACUGGCGUUCUGGAGUGCGGAUGAAGUAGGCGGAAUGUGCCGUGUAGCGGUGAAAUGCUUAGAUAUGGCACAGAACACCAAUUGCGAAGGCAGCUUACUAAGGCGAUACUGACGCUGAGGCACGAAAGCGUGGGGAUCGAACAGGAUUAGAUACCUGGUAGUCCACCCCGUAAACGAUGAUCACUCGUGAUUGGCGAUAUACGGUCAGUCACCUAGCGAAAGCGUUAAGUGAUCCACCUGGGGAGUACGGCCGCAAGGCUGAAACUCAAAGGAAUU